rnacentral:rRNA from 1 species
CUACGGGUGGCUGCAGUGGGGAAUAUUGGACAAUGGGCGAAAGCCUGAUCCAGCCAUGCCGCGUGUGUGAAGAAGGCCUUCGGGUUGUAAAGCACUUUCAGUGGGGAAGAAAGCCUUGGGGCUAAUACCCUCGAGGAAGGACAUCACCCACAGAAGAAGCACCGGCUAACUCCGUGCCAGCAGCCGCGGUAAUACGGAGGGUGCGAGCGUUAAUCGGAAUUACUGGGCGUAAAGCGCGCGUAGGCGGUCUGAUAAGCCGGUUGUGAAAGCCCCGGGCUCAACCUGGGAACGGCAUCCGGAACUGUCAGGCUAGAGUGCAGGAGAGGAAGGUAGAAUUCCCGGUGUAGCAGUGAAAUGCGUAGAGAUCGGGAGGAAUACCAGUGGCGAAGGCGGCCUUCUGGACUGACACUGACGCUGAGGUGCGAAAGCGUGGGUAGCAAACAGGAUUAGAUACCCCGGUAGUC